GACGUAGGGCGCGAGCGUUGUCCGGAUUUAUUGGGCGUAAAGAGCUCGUAGGCGGCUCGUUGCGUCGGCUGUGAAAACCCGCAGCUCAACUGUGGGCUUGCAGCCGAUACGGGCGGGCUGGGAUUCGGUAGGGGAGACUGGAAUUCCUGGUGUAGCGGUGAGAUGCGCAGAUAUCAGGAGGAACACCGGUGGCGAAGGCGGGUCUCUGGGCCUUACCUGACGCUCAGGCGCGAAAGCUAGGGGAGCGAACAGG
rnacentral:rRNA from 1 species